AGCAAAUCUAAACAUGUACAUAUAACGACGUUAUUGUAGUGCUAGUUUUUAACAGAGUCUAACUUUGAUUACCUGCUUCGACCAGCACGGCCGUCAAGUAGAAACGGGAUCGCGUCUUGACCAAGAUGUUGCCAAAGAAGGCGAUGGCUAACCGGUGGAAACGCGGCCUAGAGUAUCGAACAUUCUUCGAUUGGUUCACCAACAAUAAUGAUACGAUCAAGGAUGACAUUGCCGAACUUAUCAAGGACGAUUCGUGGUCAAAUCUGCUUCAGUACUAUCUGCUGCCGGACAUCGAAAUGAAAUUGGAAGCGAAAGAGGGCGGUGGUGAAGAAGAUUUCGGUGACGAUGGCGAGGGCAAGGAAGGAGCGCGAGAUCGAAGAUGAGGAAGAGAUAGCCUAAGAAGUAGGUUAAUUUUGUGAUAAUUAAAAUCAUUAUGGAUCAACAGUUUAUACUAGUUAAGCUGUCAACGUGGCAUCUGAUGUCUUUCUAGAUCACCGAUUUAUGUGUCGGCUACUCAGAAGAAACCCUGUCUAGACUAGACUGCCGGUGUAUAGGAACUUGUCUGUGAAAUGUGAAAUGAAACCUGCGGUGGAACUUUAUUCAGCUAUGUGCAUGAUGGACGCUUACAAUAAAGUAAAGCUGCUAAAAGUACUAAUCUGCUGAAAAGUAUCAUGAAAUAACUAAAAUAACCCUAUAUAGAUUGAGAUAAAAUAAUUUUUUUUUUCGAAU